UGCGAGUCUGUAGAAAUUUAUGAGUAGAUUUAAAUAAUUAUUAUAAAGAUAAGAAACAUUAUACUUCGAUUUAGUAAAUUUUUUCUUGUUUUUAGUAUUAUGAGUCAAGUAAACAUGUUUGCUUCAAUUUAAUUUUUUUUUCUCUCAGUGUAAAUAGGACAGCGUGUAAAUGUGUAAUUGAUGACAAUUUUGCGUUAAGGAAAAAUAAUCAUAGAAACAUCUAUAAAUGUUAAAAACACCAUUUAAUACCUAAAUAAUAUUAAUAUGGUUAUUGAUGAAAGCAGUUAAAGAUGUUCAAUGAUCAUUUGUUGAUCGUUCAUCAAAAUUAGCGAGUAACACGGAAUGGUGUAUAAAAAAGAGAUUAUACCGCGUUAAAAUUACACGGAUGGAAAAUUUACACCGAGAGAAUUUUACUUCGUUAUUUCACACUGCACGGCCGCGUAAAGUUCUCUGGGUCCAUUUUGCACCCAAAUUUUUUACAGUGUGAAUAGGAUUGUUUUUAUUAAAGUAACUGUUGAGAUGUAUUUAACAGAAAAAAAAUUUUUUAUGACAUAUAUAUUUAACAUUGACCUCAUGCCUUCCCACAUUUCACGAAUCGAAUAUAUCUAAAAAAGGAAAAAAAAAAUAAAAAUUAUCAUGAAUAUGAAUGAACUGAGACAACAUAUACAAAGCCGUUAUUUCCAAUAGUGACCAUUACUCGAAGUUAAUCUAUACUGUCUCCAUAAAAUCAUUAUAUAAGAAAUUAUCUGUUGAAGAUUUUUAAAUCAUUGAAAAUGAAACGAUUCUUGAUAUUAUUUAUUUUGGGUUCAUUGACUAUUGAUUACACAAAUGGGUGCAGAUGUGUUGGCUUUCCACUUCAAACUUUGUUUUGCAAUUCUGAUUUUGUUAUUAAAAUAAAAGUUACGGACAUUGAAAAAGAGGAAAAAACAAAUAAGAAAUAUAUACCACGUUGAUAUACUAGAAACUUACCGGACAAAUGCUGAAGCAGUAGAAGCACUUAAACUUAAACAUUUACUUACUGGUUCAGACGGAGGAUCGUGUGGUCUUCCACUUAAGCGUGACCAAGUUGCUGUUGUUGGAGGACACAUAGUUGCUGGAAAGCCAGAAAUUAGUCUCUGUAGUUUACAUUUAAGAAAUCCUCAAGAAAUUGAUGCUGAGUCUGUUAAUCUUCGUGAAAAUUUUUCUAUAAAUUGUGCCACAGCGUAAGUUGAUCAAAUUUUCUAUUGUACAGAAAAUAAAUUUUAUACUACAAGAUUUGUUUAAAACAAAAAUUUAAUAAAAUUGAAGAUGUUUUUAUUUGCACAAUUCAUCAUAGGAUCUAUCAGUUUAUAGAAAUUUUUUCAACAAUUAAGUGAUAGAUUAUGAGCUAAUUUUUUACAAGUUUAUUUAUUAUGUUUAUUAUACACUGUAAAAAGAGCGGUGUUAAAAAUGGACUCGUUUUAACUCCGCCCGGUGUUAAAAUACAAUUACACCGGUGUAGGAGGAGUAAUACACUGGUGUUAAAAAUACCGGUGUUAAAGCGGGGUAACUGGUGUAAAAGCGGAGUAAAACCGGUGUUAAAUCGAGGUAACUGGUGUAAAAGCGGAGUAAUACCGGUGUAAAAGCAGGGUAAACUGCGUCCGCUUGGAGUAUUAACUUUAAAGAUUAUAAAACACAAAAAAUGUCAGUUCUUUAUGAAAAUUAAUAAAAAAUAUCAUUUAUUAACAAGUAUAGUGAUCGAGUAAGUAAAAAUAUUCACAAAGUAAAAUAUUUUAACACCGGUAAAGAAUGUCCACACCGGUGGCAGCGUUAUUUUAACACCGGUCCAGAAUAUUUACACCGGUGACGGCGUUAUUUUAACACCGCUUUCGGGGGUUAAUUUAACACCGAUAAUUUUAAUACCUACACCGCUUGGACUUACCCCGGUGAUUUUUUACAGUGUAUUACAUUUUUUUCUUUAAGUCGAAACUGUAUAAGAAUUAUAAGAUAAGUCACAACAGAUAGGUCACAAUCGUACCAAACAUCUGAAAAUUUUGAUACAUUAAAUAUGUCAGAGUCUUAAUUUCACACCCUUGGCAUGAAAUCCCAGGGGAAAACAAUUUAGAUCUAUUGUAGGUCUAUGCAGAGUUGAUUUUUUUAAAAAUUAGAUCUCCUAUACUUCAAGCAAAUCUACGCACGUCAAAGUGAAUCUCAGAAUUGCUAAAACUUUUUUUAAGAGAUCUACAACAAUUUGUGGAAAUUCGCGAAAAUCAUCGAAGUAUUUAUUACGGCAUAAAAAAUGGUCCUUAGAGCUAUUUUAAUAGACUUCAUGAAAGAAUGUUACUGAGCUCGAA